rnacentral:rRNA from 1 species
GACGAACGCUGGCGGCGUGCUUAACACAUGCAAGUCGAACGGAAAGGCCCUGCUUUUGUGGGGUGCUCGAGUGGCGAACGGGUGAGUAACACGUGAGUAACCUGCCCUUGACUUUGGGAUAACUUCAGGAAACUGGGGCUAAUACCGGAUAGGAGCUCCUGCUGCAUGGUGGGGGUUGGAAAGUUUCGGCGGUUGGGGAUGGACUCGCGGCUUAUCAGCUUGUUGGUGGGGUAGUGGCUUACCAAGGCUUUGACGGGUAGCCGGCCUGAGAGGGUGACCGGCCAAAAUGGGAAAGAGGGACCGGCCCGACCCACAAGGGGGGGAGAAGGGGGGAAUAGUGCGAAAAGGGGGGAAGGCGGAAGGAGAGAACCCGGGGGGGGGAGUACGGCCUUUGGGGUUGAAAACCGUUUUCGCAGGGAAGAAGGGGGAGGGAAGGGUAAUGGGUAAGAAAGCACCGGCAAACUAGGG